GCACAACGUUGGACAUAUGGAGUAAAAGUACUUUCAGGGAACUUCAAACAACAAAACAAGCAGGUUCUGUUUGACCAAAUUUUGCAGUUUUAUCACUUGAACUCUUCAGUGUUUGAGCAGAAAUUCAACUUCUCAAACUUCCAAAUAUUUCAGCAUCACAUCAGGUAUUUUGCUGCUGACAACAGAAGGAGCCAGCCUGAUAAUGCUGGGUCAGAUUCCUAUUCUGCUGCACCAUCCCAUCUCUGUCUGGUCCUACUUAAUCUGUGAGGGGCAGGGACAACCUGAUGCAAAGCUGCUCCCUCCACUGAUACUUGCUAUUACCUCUGCAGAGGUCAAGUGAUCCCCUCUCUUGACUAUGUAAGAGGAUACAAAAGUCACAAUGCCUUCCUCCCCAACCAUAUUU